AACUAAUAUAAAGUGAAACCGCGAAAGGCUCAUUAAAUCAGUUAUGGUUCCUUAGAUCGUACCACAAAUUUACUUGGAUACCUGUGGUAAUUCUAGAGCUAAUACAUGCUUACAGAACUCUAACCGGAGACGGAAAGAGUGCUUUUAUUAGAAUAAAACCAAUCGGCGACAAUCUUUUUUGCUCGUCGCAUUGUUUGAUGGCUCUGAAUAACUUUUAGCUGAUCGUACGGUCUAGAACCGAUGAUGCAUCUUUCAAAUGUCUGCCUUAUCAACUGUCGAUGGUAGGAUCUGCGCCUACCAUGGUUGUAACGGGUAACGGGGAAUCAGGGUUCGAUUCCGGAGAGGGAGCCUGAGAAACGGCUACCACAUCCAAGGAAGGCAGCAGGCGCGCAAAUUACCCACUCCCAGCACGGGGAGGUAGUGACGAAAAAUAACGAUACGGGACUCAUCCGAGGCCCCGUAAUCGGAAUGAGUACACUCUAAAUCUUAUAACAAUUAUCAAUUGGAGGGAAAGCCUGGUGCCAGCAGCCGCGGUAAUUCCAGCUCCAAUAGCGUAUAUUAAAGUUGUUGCGGUUAAAAAGCUCGUAGUUGAACUUGUGUCCCGCGCUGUCGGUUCACCGCCCGCGGUGUUUAACUGGCAUGCUCGCGGGACGUCCUACCGGUGGAUGUUUAGUCUAUGUGAUCCUCCGAUCAAUGUUUAGGCACUUCGGUGUUCUAGACUUGAUACGUUUGGGGUAGCAAUGUUUCUAGCAUCCAGGUAUCUCCUGUCGUGGUGCUCUUUAUUGAGUGUCUCGGUGGGCCGGUACGAUUACUUUGAACAAAUUAAAGUGCUUAAAGCAGGCUAAAAUAUUGCCUGAAUAUUCUAUGCAUGGAAUAAUGGAAGAGGACCUCGGUUCUAUUUUGUUGGUUUUCGGAACCCCGAGGUAAUGAUUAAUAGGGACGGAUGGGGGCAUUCGUAUUGCGGCGUUAGAGGUGAAAUUCUUGGAUCGCCGCAAGACGGACAGAAGCGAAAGCAUUUGCCAAAAAUGUUUUCAUUAAUCAAGAACGAAAGUCAGAGGUUCGAAGGCGAUCAGAUACCGCCCUAGUUCUGACCAUAAACGAUGCCAGCCAGCGAUCCGCCGAUGUUCCUCCGAUGACACGGCGGGCAGCUUCCGGGAAACCAAAGCUUUUGGGUUCCGGGGGAAGUAUGGUUGCAAAGCUGAAACUUAAAGGAAUUGACGGAAGGGCACCACCAGUAGUGGAGCCUGCGGCUUAAUUUGACUCAACACGGGAAAGCUUACCAGGCCCAGACACCGGAAGGAUUGACAGAUUGAGAGCUCUUUCUUGAUUCGGUGGGUGGUGGUGCAUGGUCGUUCAUAGUUGGUGGAUCGAUUUGUCUGCUUAAUUGCGAUAACGAACGAGACUCUAGCCUACUAAAUAGGCGCUUAACUUUACCGGUAUCUUGAAGGCUUGUGUCUUUUUGUUUCUGGCUUGUCAUGGUUGCAUAUUGUUCGUUCUUAACGGCCCUUGUGUAGCAUUUUGAUGAGUUCAGUCUUAAAGUUCACAGUUUUUUACUACCGGCGUACAUAUAAAUCUUCUUAGAGGGACAGGCGGCUUCUAGCCGCACGAGAUUGAGCAAUAACAGGUCUGUGAUGCCCUUAGAUGUUCUGGGCCGCACGCGCGCUACACUGAAGGAAUCAGCGUGUUUUCCCUGUCCGAAAGGUCCGGGUAACCCGUUGAACCUCCUUCGUGCUAGGGAUUGGGGCUUGUAAUUCUUCCCCAUAAACGAGGAAUUUCCAGUAAGCGCGAGUCAUUAUCUCGCGUUGAUUAAGUCCCUGCCCUUUGUUCACACCGCCCGUCGCUACUACCGAUUGAAUAAUUUAGUGAGGUCUUCAGACUGGUACGCGGUAUGCUAAAACAUUCCGAUGUUCGCUGG
rnacentral:rRNA from 1 species